UGACACGGUUCUCUUCAAAGGUAGAGUUUGUAAGAACCAGGUGACUCUUCCCGAUGAUAGAUGACAUGACAACAAAUUUAAGGGUUUGAGAUUGUUUUUCUACUUGUUUUGAGUAAGUAGUAAUUAGUGAGAAUUGGUGCCUCAGGAAAAUCUUCUCUUGGUCCUAACACAAUUACCUUUGACCUUAUGGUUAAAAACAAAUUUGUGUGUAUAGGAUGAUGAUAGUUAUGACUUUGAGACUCUAGUGUUGACUAAAAAAUCAUCGAGUGGUUCCUCAGAACCAUUUUUGUUGCUCAAAUCUUAGCUAAGGUUGUUGUGGGAACCCUAAUAUAUUUCUUUAGCAACCCUAUAGUUUGUGUGGUGAGAUAUUGAUUUGAAAGUCCAAGUCCCAUGCCAAGGAGUCUAGAACUUGCCGUGAAUGUUUGUCUAGGCAAAAUCCUAAGUGAAGCUCGACUUGAGAAAUGAUUAUAGGCUCUCCUUGAUCCUAAUUGAGACUUGAUAACAUCCAUAACCUACUAAUGAUUAUAUCCCUAGUCAACCUCAUUGAGCCAUAGCCCUUAUUCUUUAAAUAACCAUGAUACAAGCCUUUAUCCAUUCUAAAAUGAUCCUCUCUUGGCACCCUAUCUUUCUUAGCACAAGGCAAAAGCAUAAGUUUAGGGGGAGAGACAGGGAAUGAAAAAGUGAUAAAAGGUACAAAAUAAAAAAAAGGAAAGUGAAAAAGAAAAUAAAGAAAAUCCAAAAAUUAAAAAAGAAAGUGAACAAUGUAGAAGAAAUUAAGGGUGUCAAUAAAGGCAAAAGAUGAAAGGCAUAGAAAGAUUGGAAAGGGGAAAGGGAUUGAAAUGAACAAGAAAGAGUGACAAUGAGUCUGUCUAGCCCCUAAAGAAGAAGUAAGUGACUUAAAUAGUCAAGAAAAUAUGUGCCAAAAUGAAGCAAAUGAAUUUCUUAAGGGAAGGUGAAACCUUCUUAGACCAAUAUAUCCUACCCUGAACCAUAAGCCUUCAUUACAUCACCAUAAAAGCCCUAUAUGAUCUUGAGUUAGGUAAUCUUACAUUAGUGGUGACUAACAUAAGGGACAAGCUUAUGGUACUUAGAGCCGAACUUGUGACCUUCCUUUGAAAGAGAUAAGUGUGUUUUCCAUAAUCCUCGUUCUAAGUGUGACAGUCUAUUAGUGAGGUUUGCUUAUUGAGAGUUGAGGAGUAUGAUUUUGGGUUCCACAAUGACAGAUGUAACAGAAAGAGUUUCCUUGAUGAGUUGAGUCAACUAUUGAUGCUUUUGUGUCGCACUAUAAUUAUGGUGCUAAAAGUCUGUGUAUUGUUCAUAAUGCAUUUGAGUUGAGGUUAAUUGUUAGUCCCUAUUGAUUCUUAAUGAGGUUAUUUUAGGACAGCUGAAUUUUCCUUUCUUUUAUCUUAAGGAGGUCGGAAUUACUUUAUUUUCUUGAAGACAAGCAAAAGAUUAAGUUUGGGGGAGUUGAUAACUAGGGAUUCUAGUCUAUUUUAUGCUCUUUUUUUGCUUAAGUUAUAGAUUUAAAGUGUGUAAAGUAUUCCCCAAAGCUAACUUAUUGUGCUUGUUUGCAGUAUUUGGUGAAAAAGAGACAAGAAAGUCAAAAUCAGCUCAAAAAGGAGUAAAACUUCCACAAGUCAAAAGCUGCGUCAACCAAGAGCUACAGUGGAAAAUAAACCGUAGAAACGGAGGAUCUACCGUGGAGGCAGUCUUGAUCUCGCGGUCCAUGGUGAAAAAGAUUCAGGGAGCGGCAAUUUGGGGAUUUACCAGUCACCGCUCACCACAGUGGACUCAACACGGUCGCGGUGCAUUUACCGCCUUCAGCGGAGGAGAGAUUCAGAGAGUCUGAAGUUGAGCUGAAAGUUGAAGACCGUGGUCCGCGCUUGAUUCUAUGCAGCCGCAGUAGCCUCUCCACUGCAGCAGUCCAUUUUCCACUGUCAGUGGUACCUCCGUAGAGCAUUAUUUUUUGAAAAAUUUAGUUGUGUAUAAAUACUUAUUUUUCAGAUUUUUAGGUCAUCUUUUGUUUAGCUAAGCAUGUGAAACCGCCAUUUUUAAUUUUUUGAGUAGUUUUAGAGUUUGUUUAACAAUUAAUCAUAGACUUUUAUCUUGUAAUUAAUUUUUAUGGCUUCUACUUCAUCUCAAUCUUUGAUUUCUUCAGUUAAUAUGAGUAGCUAAACCCAUUAGCUAGGGUUGUGGCUCAACCUUAGUGUGAGUAUUUAAUGAGUCUCUCAUUUUAGGACUUAAAUAUUUAUGGGUGAUUGAUAUUUGAUCUAAUUUAUGCUUCAAAUGUUAAAUUGGUAGUUGCAAACAUUGAUUUGUGCCUUUUUUACUCAGGCUCUUCUUUGGAAAGAGAGACUAAGUCUAGGAAUUCCAGGCCAACAAGGUAUUGGGGUGUAUUCAAGAGAUUGAUAGUCUCAAUUAAAGGGUUAAACCUAAAGAUAGUAAUACUCGACUUGAGCUAACUUUGAUCGUACAAAUUGAACACCCAAUUGGGUUUGAGAAAGCCAAUUAUGGCAAAAUCUCUCAAACUACCGAGAGAUGUAGAGUGAGUUGCUACGUGCAUUGGAUAUCACGAUCCCAUCUAUAACAAUAUUGCUCUAAGUUUUAGAUCCCGUUAGGUACCCACCUAGGUGAAAGUCGCUCCCCUAGUGCCUUUUUACCAAUUUAGAAAAUCCUACAAAAAUAUCUACUUAGCUUAAUUACGUGCAUCAUUAGUAUAAAAUUAGAAUAAGAAAACAAGCAAAAGAAUGAUUGAAAAUUCAAUCAAGAGCAUUGCACAUUGCUAGAUUAGAUAGGAAUCGAACUCCAAACAUAUCUUAGCUCCCUGUGGAUUCGAUUCUGACCUUUUUGGGUAAAAGUUGCAUCGACCGCUCUUGUUACUCUAUAGUGGUGUAGGGUUGGAGCCGAUCACCUGCCCAUCGAUUAUAGCUCGAUGGUGGUGAAAAUAUAGUAAUACUGUAUAUAUAGACUCUCUGAUCUCUUGGCUGAAAGAAAAAAAACUAAACUGAAUAUUAAUUCCCUAUAAGGAAGAAUACUGCAGCUUAUGAUACUAGGAUAAUGUACAUAAUUUCAAGAAUAAGAAUUUUUCCUUAUGCCUCGUUAUCAAAAGCAUGUAGUUACAAGAUAUGCCAAAAUGAACGAAAGAUUUAGCUUUAAUAUACCUUAUUAAAAUCUUUCCAAUUACCAAUUUGAACUUCUCUUUGCAUCUUAAUCUGCAACAAUGAUCAUAAUAUUAUCAUUAAGUUGUGAAAGGUAAAACCAUCGCACAACUAAUGACAAGCUUAUUUUGUAUUAAAAUGGGCAACAUCUCCCACAUAAUCCUUACUCUCCAAAUUCAAGAUGACACCAAAAAUACAAGAAAACAAAAAUAACAACAUUUAUACAUUAUUUUCCAACCUUAUAUAUACCAUAAAAUACUACAAAACAACCCAAUGCACCUCAAUCUCUUCAUACACAAAACGACCACUGCAGUAGUGUCAAACGACUCAAAAAUGUUACGACGAAUGAGAAUCCCACCACCCUGAAUUUAUGUGGUGUUUAACCACACCCUUAAUACUCCAGAACACCAUAAAAUAGUAGUAAAGCACGCAAUCCAACAGCAAUACAAAAUAGUCCACAAAAUAGUCUGCUACAAGUGAAUAUCUCAAACUCAAAGCUUCGGAUCACCGUCCCGUAAGUUAUUACAAUUAUUGAAUGAAUUUUCACACAUAUUAGUAGAAAAAAUAGAUGAAAUAGAGUAGUAAAUUUACCUUAUUUUUCGAAUAACUCAGCAGCUAUAUUGGUUCUUCAAACUCAAGGUUUUCCUCUCACUAGAACUUGAAAAGUAGAGAAAUUCAAUUAGGGUUUGUGUUCAACUUUUGGGAGGAUGUUUGUAGGGGUUUUGGUCUGGUUAUUGUGCACUAUUAUCAGUGUAUUAUAUGAAUACAAUAGGACUUAAUAAGGUCUCUUUUUACGACCCGAGUUGGCCCAUUUUUUAACUCUCAUUUAAGCAAGUAGGUGACACACCUAAUUGUCACCUAGCAGUCUGUGAAGUCUUGCAAAAAUGCAUAUAUUUCUCUACUCGAUCUCGUAUUGACAAACAGUUUAAUGCGUUAGAGAAUAUACUCAUAGGUCUUCAAUUUUAUGGGUGUAAAACCCCAUAAAUCUAAGUAUAUUUGGAGAUAACCACAAUUACAUUUGACCCAAAUUUCAGUAAAACCUAUGAACAUAACUUGGGAUGACUUUCAUCGACUUUUGUUCCACAACUCGCCUGAGUUCAAAAAAUAACACAUGACUAUCAUACAAAUAAGAUAACUCAAAAAAUAACCUCCUUAUUAUUUUAAGCACCCAAGUAUCAUCCAAAAAAUACAUGUUGUAACAUUACCAACUUGUUAACUUUCAACGAAAUAUUAUUUUUUUCAAUUCCUUAGCUUCUAAACCAUCCAAAUCUCUUUGUACUUGUUGUUCAUGAUCUUCAAUAUAUGUAACAUCUGAGGUAACAUGAUAACUUAUUUUAUAUAUUUCCAAGAUGAUCUCCUUGUGGGUCUUACAUUAGUUUCCUUACGACGCACUUUCACAUACAAAAAUAUGGGGGUGUAAUAUUCACCUACAGUGUGACGACCCGAUUGGUCAUUUUGACACUAGCACUUCAUUCGGUAGUUUGAGGCCUUGAAUAGCUUCACUUCAUAUUUUAUGACUUGUACGCAUAGUAGGAAUCGAAUUUCGAAAAGUUUGGAGUUGGUUCAUAUGGAAAAUUCUCAAUUGGAAGCUUUAAGUUGGAAGAGUUGACCAAGGUGCUACUUUUGCGUAAAUGAUUUCAGAAUAGGGAUUUGAAGGUUUCAACAGGUUCGUAUGAUUAUUUCGAACUUGUGCGUAUGUUUGGGUUGAGUAUCGAGUGGUCCGGGAGCAUUUCGGCGCCUAUUAUGGAAAAUUGGCAUUUUGAAGGUUUUACAAAUUUUUGAGUUUGGUUUGAAGUGGAUUUUAGUGUUAUCGAUGUAGAUUUGGGCUUCUGAGUCUUUUAUUAGUUCGUAUUGUGAUUUUAGACUUGCACGUAAAGUUUGGCAUCAUUCCGGAAAGUUUAAGUAUGAAUCGGACGUGUUCGUCAAAGUUUGAAUGUUUGAAAGUUUAAGGAAUGAAUUUUUAUCGUCAAUUCAUAGUUUGGGUAUUGUUUCAUGUGAUUUGAGUCCUCGAAAAAUUUUGCAUCAUAUUUUGGGAAUAGUUUGUAUGAUAGGUCGGGGUCCCGAAGGCCUCGGAUGUGUUUCGGGGUGGUUCCAGACCAAGUUUGGCUGAACUGUUGUUGCUGGUGCUGGUUUUGUUCUUUGAAAACAUGAAGGGCCUCCCGCAUUCACGGAGAAGGAAUUGAGCUAUGGACCUUCUAGUUUUACACGUUUGCGAUAAGGAAGUCGUGUUUGGUAUGGGUUGGAAAAUUGUGCUCCGUGUUUAUGAAGGCCUGGUCGCGUUCGCGUAAGAGGAGCUGGCCUGGCAGAAGAGAUUGGUCUUGGCGUUCACAAAAGAGUAGCCGUGUACGCUAUGGCCAUGCUGGUAAAGCUUCGCAUUCAUGGGACCUAUCUUACAUUCGCGUAGAGGAACUGGAAUGCAGAAGCUGGUUGUUCAUCGCGAACGCGUGGGACUUGUCGCGUUCGUGAACAAGGUCGGACUGGACAGUGUGGUUUUAAAAAUGGGGGUUUGACUCAUUUUCACGUUAUUUCUUCUGUGUGAUUCAGCGUUGGAGCGAUUUUGGAGCACCAUUUUCAUCGUCAAUCAUGAGGUAAGUAAUUCUAUAAGUUGUGAGUUAAAUAUACGAAUUCGGGCUUAUAAAUACAUGGGAAAUUAUGGAGAAUUUUGGAUUUUGAGAGAAAAACCUAGAAAUUAUAUUUUUAGAUUUUUACUAUAAAACUAGACGUGGAAUUUGGAAUAAAUCAUAUAUUUGAGUUUGUAACAUUAUGGGUAGAGUUUAUCUUCGAACUUUUUGGGAAUUCGGGCACGUCAGCCCAAGAGUUGACUAUAUUGCACUUUCGUGCGGAGUUGAAAAUUGUUAUAAAUUGAUUAACUAUGGGUAUUAGAGUAUAUUUUUAUUGGUUUUCAUGAUUGUUUGACUAGUUCAAAUCGAUGGGCAUUAGUUCGAGGUGUUAGAGAGGCAUUGGAGCCGGUUAUGAAACAUCAGAGCGAGGUAAGUCUCAUGUCUAACCUUGCGAGGGGGAAUUUACCUCAUAGGUAUUAUAUUCUUAUGUGUUACAUGUAGUGGGAGCUACACACAUAUUAAGUGAUGAGUGUCCGUACGUAUGCUAGAAUUCCUGAUUAUGUCCUGAUAGACUAGGUUCACGCCAUGUUUUAAUUGUAUUAUGCGUUAUUAUUGCCUGUAAAAUUCCUUUAUUCGGGAUUACGCCUUGAGACUAGGCUUGCGUUGAGUGAUAUACUCAGUAUUCGUGAGUGGGGUCAAAAACUUGUUAAAGCCUCUUAUUUUAAUGAGAUCGGGUUGUUCGCCUGGGCAGGAUAUUGUAACACACUCUUAUGGGAUCGGGUCGUUCGCUCGGCAGUAUCAUAUUCAUAUGGGAUCGGAUCGUUCGCCUCGGCAGUAUCAUAUUCUUAUUGGAUCGGGCUGUUUUCCUCGGUAAUGUCAUAUCAUAUUGGAUCGGGUCGUUCGCCUCAGUAGUACCACACUCUUAUGGGAUCAGGUUGUUCGCCUCAGCAAUACCACACCCUUAUGGGAAUUGGCCGUUCGCCUCGGCAGCACCACUCUCUUAUGGGAUCGGAUCAUUCGCCUUGGCAUUUCUGUAAAUACUCUUAUGGGAUCGGAUCGUUCGUCUCGGCAACUUCAUGAAACACUCUUAUAGGAUCAAGUCAUUCUCCUAGGCAGUGUCGUGCGUAAUAUUUGACAAUGAGUCAUCUUAUCUGUGAGUUUUUCUGAUUUGAGUUAUGACGACCUAUCUGGUGGGAACCAUUUUACAUAUAUACUCAGGUUGAGGAGGUAACCAAUAGUUAAGGGCUUGUGUUUACUAUUCAGAGGAAGAUUGUGCCACGUAUUUAUAUUUGUUUGUUCUAUUAAUUUACUCUGCCUCGUAUUUGUUUACUUCUUAUUGUAUAUGAUUUAUUAGACUACUAGUAAGUGUCAAUGUCGACCCUUGGUUACUACUUCUCCUUGGUUAGGUUAGAUACAUACGAGGUACACAUUGAUUUACGUACUCAUGUUACACUUCUGCACUUAUUAUGCAGGUAUAUAUUUUUGGUGGUCUUUCGGGCAUGAAGGCAUAGCUAUUGCGGGGACUUAAGAUGAGCUUCAUCCCAUACUAUGAACCGCGGCAUACAGAGCCUCCAUCUGAAUCAUUUAUAUUUUUUUGUCUAAUUUGUAUUUUAGACAGAUGUUGUAUUAUUAUUGUACUUCUUAGUAAAUUCUCAUGCACUUGUAACACCUGGUUUCGAGAUAUGAUAGUUGAUACUUACGGAUUUGUAUAUUAUUAUCACCUUUCACGUCUUUUAUAAGCUGUUACUUGUGUAUGUACCUGUAAAUUUAAAAGUGUAAAUUUCUAUCAUUAAUAAAAUUUAUAAUUUAAAGAGUAAUAAAACGAAAAAAUAGAUGUAAUAAUCACCGUUAAUUUGCCUAACGACGAUGUUAGGCGUCAUUAUGACUUGUAGCGGUUUUUAGGUUAUGACAUACAGUACCCAGAAGUUGCUUGUAAAACCUUACAAACACUUUCGCAUUUUCCUCAGAGUCAUGGUAUAUUCUUUGUUGAUCAUCCUGCAUCUGAGUUAUUGCUUGCAUUAGUUUCCUCUAUUUUUUAAUAGAGAAGAAAUAUUGUGUAUUAUUAUCUCCAGGGGCGGAUUUAGGGGACGCACGAGUGUUCACUCGAACACUUUUCGCCAAAGAAUUAUAUUGUAUAUAUAAGGCGAAAUCUGUUUUUAUAUCUCUAUAUAUUAAGUUUUGAAUACCCUUAGCACAAUGCAAAAGUGUAGUUUAGUGGUCAAGGGGGUUCAAAAUCUACAUAAGGUCAUGGGUUCAAUUCCCACUAGCUACAAAAGAACAAAAAUUGAAUUGCCUUCGUGGAAAUUCUGCCUCCGCUACUGAUCAAUCUCCAAGCUUGAUCCAAUUUGCUUUACUCUGUUGCAAUAAAAACAUCUCAUCAAGCUUGAUCAUCUCUCUGCAUCUUGCAAAUCUUCAUUCAAGGUGUCUAGAUGGAGUUUAGUCUGAGCAUUAAGCAUGGCUACUCUAUCAUGUUUUGCCUCUAUAAGCAGACUCCUAAAAUUUUAUUUAUGUAGUUGUUUAUGUUUACUCUUUAGCAUCUCUAUUUUGCUGACCACUUGAUAUAUGUAAUGGCCUUCAACUUGAUUAUCCCAUACCUCUUUGACUAUAUCUUGAAAUAGUGGAUGUUUUCUCCAAAUAUUACAAUACUUGAACGCCCUCUUGGUAAUAUGUUGAAGUUGCAUAGGCAGAUUUUGAGCGAAUAAUGAUCAUUCACUUCUUCUGGUAAAAAAGUAAAACUACACAUUGAAAUUAAAUAUCCACUCACCAUUUACAAACACCCGGUCUAUCUUUGAGAACAUGCUAUCAGUCCCCUGCUAAUCAUUCCAAAUGUAUGGCCUUCCUGCACUAGGCAAUUCUACCAAGCUACAAGUUUCCAGGCAAUUUUGAAAAUCUUUCACUUCUGCAAAUGUAACUGAAUUUCUUCCUAAUCUAUUAAUCCCUCUGUUGUGAACUUAUUUUUUUUGUUGGUCUGUUCCAAAAAGAAUGACCCAUUUCUAAAUUUGGUAAUAAUUUAGUUUAAACUUACAAUUCUGCCCUUAAUGAGAAGCUUUUAUAAUCACACAAAGGCUCUAGGUCCUUUUUUGACUUGUUUAGAAUCAUAAAUUCCAACAGUCUUCAUUUUUUCUUAAGCUUCGUACCCAGUCAAACAAGUUAACAUAAAUUGGAACGGGAGUAUCUGUUUUCAGUACAUCAUUGAAAUUGCCCAUAAUAAUCCAUGGUAAUGUGCAUCUCUAUCCCACAUUGUUCAGUUGUUCCCAUAAUUCCUUCAUGUCUUCCCUCUGGUUGUAAGCAUAGACAAAUGACAUGAGACAUGUCAAUUGCCUUGGUACAUACAACGCUUGGCAUGUAAUUGCUUGUGCAGAACCAUAGAGGUAUUUCACCUCAUAUAAAUCUGGUCUUCAUGUGAACCAUAUCCUACAAUUAUAAUGGAAUUCAUGAUUUGUAACAUACCUCUACCCGACAAAUAUUCUUCCUGCAACUUAACUUAUAUUGUUCACUUUUAUUUUUGUUUCAAGUAGACUAAUCAAACCUACAUCAUACUGAUUGCAGAUGAGUUUGACCUCAUUUUGCUUAUUGAGGCCAUUAAGGCCUCUCACAUUCCAACUUAUCAUGUUAACCAUGUUGUAUACUACCUCCACCUUUUCCUGGUUCAUAAUUCUGCUUGCUCAUACUCUUCGAUAUUUGUAACUUGCAUAAGUGUCUUCUUUUGUAGUUCAUCUUUGGAUAUUUUCAUUUCAGGUGUCCACGCCUUGAAAAUAAAUGAUUUAUUAUCGAAGUGGUAGAUACCUCCUCGUACUAUAACCUUAUUUCUCCCUUCCCCAUUGUCAAAUCGGACCAGGAUUAUCCCAUUCUUCAGCAUCGUUAUUUUGUUGAUUCCUAGUUUACCCCCCACAAUCUCUGAAUAAAUUCAUUGAGCACUGCAAAUGUUGUCGAGCCCCCAAUACGUAACACACAACUGCAGUAUUCCAAUUUGAAACCAGCAUUAGUUAUCUUCAUGAUCAAAAUUUUCCCAAAUUGAGGCCUUAACACUCGUAGUCUCUGUUUCACUAAUUUUAUUGUUCUUACUCGUCUCAAUUUCACUCUGUUCAACUUCAUCAGCCAAGGAGAUUUUGCACCCACUGUUGUUAGCAUGCAUCACCUUUAGCCAUUCGCCCAAAUUUGCUUUUGUUAUUUCCACCUGGCCUUUGGUGUGCUAGGUCGUUGCCCGUCCCGCACUCGUGAAUUCACUCUCGAAAUUGCCCGAUUUCCUUCGCUAAUCGCUGUAGGUGGUGCGCUUACUUUCAUUGUUUGCUUUACCGCCUUUCCCACAAAAAUCUGAGCCGGUACCACCGCGGCGGCGGACCUACCUCUUGUACGAAGGGAGUUUAAUUGAACCCGCUUCAAAGAAAAAUUUAUUACUCUUACUUGUGAAGUUUAGCAAAAAAAAAAACAUAAAAGGAAUAAAUAUUAAGACUUGAACCCAUUUGACACAUAUUGAAGUUGCAGAGCAACAGUCAAGCGGGUUCAAAGUAACUCUAAGGUUGUCUGUUCGAACCCCUGCUAAAAUGCUUAAUUGAAACAUACAUCUUCAAGACACAUUUGAAUUCAUUGUCCACUUCAUCUUUUUUUUUUUAAGUUAAAACUAGAUGCAUAUUAUAAUUUAAAAAACUACCCGUUAGGGUUUAUAGAUGGAAUGUUUAUGGGUGGAUAUAUCAAAUCCCCCACUAUUAGGCUAUCGUUUGUACUAUUACAGACCAUAAUUUAUCUUUCAAACACAGUUCCUGCAAUGUCUGCCCAAAACACAUGCUUCACGGACACCGAAAGAACUGUUGUUCCAAAAAUAUCUUCAAAAAAAAUUCCUGUUAGUACAAUCAUUUGCCAGUAUAUCAGCAACUCGGUUGGUCUCCCUGUAGCUGUGCUCCACCACCACGGUGCCUAGUCUUUGAACGAUUGACCUGCAUUCAUGAAUAAGGAGUCAAAAAGAUUUCCAUUGAUUAGCAUUCUAAUUACCUCUAUUGAGUUAGUGUUUAUUUCCAAAGGCGUUAACUCCUUUCUUCUGCAAGCUGCAGUUCUUUCAGAAUUGCUAGCAAUUCUUCCUGGGUGUUAGUGGUGUAUUGGAUGGAAACCAUAUAGUAGAGUAAAAAAUUUUCACUUGCAUUUCUGAAGACUCCUCCCAGCCCUCCUCUCCAGGAUUUCUUGCUGCUACUCUAUCAGUAUUGAGCUUGUAGUUGUUGUUUGUUGGUGGCUUCCAUUUUACCCAGAUAUUUUUUUUGGUUUUGGGUUCUUUAUCCAACAUGAUUGUAACAUAUUCAGUAGCCAUAGCUAUAGCACUUUUUGAAUUGGCUAUUUCUUUUUUGUUAUUGAAGAGAUUAUUGUUCUUUGUGAGCCAUAUUUGCCAGAAGCAGAAAGGGAAAUGCUCUUCCCAAGUAAUGAUGUUGUUAUAAUGCUCUUUCUUAAGUGAUGCCCAGGUGGUUGGCCAAUGCCUACUAGGCAAAGAUGGUAUAGGAGCAUUAUUAUUAUUUUUUCCUUAUGGUAUAGGAGCAUUAUUAUUUUUUGUACUUUGUGAGAUGAUAUCUUGCCAUAAAAGAUUGGAGUUAGUGCAUUCCAAGAAAAUGUGCGAUGAUGUCUCAUUUUCCUGAUUGCACAGGUGGAACAUGGGGUCUAUUUGUAUCUCAACAUAGUGGAGAAAAGCUCAAGUGGGGAGCCUGUCAUGAAAUAGUAGCCAGAAAAAGGAUUGAAUCUUUUUGGGAACUUUCGGCUUCCAGAUCCACGAGAAAUUGUAGGUCAUGAAUUCAUGUUUUUGGUGUUGACAAGAAUCCAGGAGUGAGUAGGCAGAUUUUGUAGAAUAGAUUCCAUUUGAUGUGGCUCCCCAUAUUAUUCUACCUUCCUUAAUUGUGUUGGAUGGAAUGAAGAUUAUAGAUGAAAUUUUGGAUGGGGUAUGGUGAGAGAGAGCGUUGAGAGAUCCCAAGUUCUAUUAUGAUGAGCAGAGGGAACAGUUUUGGUCAUGUCUUCUCUUGUCAGGGGACCUUCUAUGAAGGACUUUAUAGCUGGGAGGUUGUUUAUCUAAGGAUCCUUGAAAAAACUGACUCUGUUUCCUGAAUGCACUACUCCUCAUUUUGCUUUCAUGCAUGUUUCUCAUCCUUUUAGGAUGCAUUGCCAGGUGUGAGACUUAGGUGUUUUUUAUGGAGGGAUCCUCCAAUUACAGUGUUUUGAAAUCAGAGUUUUUACCCAUAGGGUUGAGAGAUUUUGGUAUUGCCUCCAAGCAAGAUCUGAGUGGAAGGAUUUGUUUUUCAAUUCAGUUUUCUGGAUCCCCAGUCCCCCCCUUAUCCUUAGGCAUAGUGACUGUAUCACAUGAGACCAGGUGCAUCUUUCGUUUAGUGCCAGUAGUGCCCCAGAUGAAAUUCCUCUAAACUUUAUCAAUCUCUUUGGUUGUUUUUGCUGGCAAUUUGAUGUAUUGCAUUACAUGAUUUGGGAUUGAGUUUAGAGAUGGUUUUUCCAAUGUGGUUCUCCCAGUCAUGUUUAGCACGCUUGUUUUUUAUCCAGUCAUUUAAGAGUGGAGAUUGUUAAUGAUGAACUGGAAAUCACUAUGAGUGGGUCUUUUGUGGGAGAUUAGGAACCCUAGGUAUUUUCCAAAGUUUGCUAAAGCUUUUAUGAAAAGGAUGUUUGAGAUAAGCUCCAUUCGGUGAGGUUGGCAGUUUGCAUUGAAACACACAUUAGACUUUGUAAGGUUGAUCUUUUGCCCAGAUGUCAAGUUGAAAGAAUUGAGAGUAUUCAUGAUUGUGUUGCAAAUGGCUUGGUUAGAGAUUGUAAAAAGAUUUAGAUCAUCAGCAAAGAAUAGGUGAGAUAUCUUAGGGCCACUUCUGCUAAUGAUGAUGGGUGCCACUCACCCUGGAGGACAUUAUGGUUAAUGUCUCUGGAAAAUCUUUCCAUACACAUGAUAAACAGGUAAGGAGAUAGGGGAUCACGCUGUCUGAUGCCCCUAGUGGGCAUGAAAGGAUUAGUUUUCUCUCCAUUAACAAUUAAAGAGAUGGUGGAGGAGAUGACACAUGACAUGAUGAGUUUAAUGAUUGUGUUUGGAAAUUUAAAAGCAUGGAGGGUUUGCUUAAUGAAAGACCACUCUAGUCUGUCAAAAGCCUUCUCCAAGUCAAUCUUUGAGAUCAUGUUAGAGGAUUUUAUUCUCAUUUUUCCAAAGUGAGAUAUGUAUUCUUGGACUAUGAUCGCAUUGUCUAAAGAUUUCCUAUUGGAGAGGAAGCUAGCCUGACUAGGCCCAAUUAUGUGAGGGAGGUAAGGCUUGAUUCUGCUAAUAAUGAUUUUCUUAAUAUCUUAUAAACAGUAUUACAUAAGUCUAUGGGCCUGAAGUUUUUGAUAUUGAGGCUUGAUGGCAUUUUGGAAUGAGGCAUAUGAGGGUUUCAUUCAUGAUUGGGUUCAUAGUUGAUGUGGAGAAAUAGUUUUUGUAGAAUUGGAUGACAUCCUUACCCACUAUGUCCCAGUAUGUUUUAUGGAAAAAAGGGUGAAGGUCAUCAGGUCCAGGAGUUUUGAAAGUCUUGAAGGAGAAUAUGGAACUUUUGAUUUCACUAUCCCCUAAGAGCCAUCCCAAUUAUCGUUUGUUAAAUCUGGGAGAGGCAAUACCCCUGGAUUUAAGUGGAGGACAAACCAUUCUGGGACUGGGGAGGUAUGAUGUAUAAAGUUCUUGGAAGAACUUUGAGAUUGAUUGCUUGAUUUCCCCAGGCUCAAACAUCCACUGGCCUAAGUCAUCUUUGAGGUAAAGGAUUUUAUUUCUCCUUCUUCUAUUUAGAGUAGAGGUGUGGAAGAAUUUUGUGUUGGCAUCUUCUUCUGAGAGCCAGUGUAUUCUAGACUUCAUUUUUCAAAAGUCCUCUUCAUUCUUCAAGAUAGAGCUAAGCUCUUCAAUGAGUUUGCUUUCAAGAGCUUGCAUUGAGGUGCUAAUGGGAUAAAGAGGGAAUUUUUGAAUCCCUGCUAUUCUUGCUAGCAACCUCAUUUUUUUGUGGAAGAUGUUUCCAAAUGUAUGUUUGUUCCACUUGAGAGCAUUAUCCUUGAACAAAAUGGUGGAAGGUAUUAGGUAGAAUCAAGCUUUAAGGAAUCCCUAAUUAUGUUUUGAAACAAAGGGUGGUUGCGCCACAUUAAUUCAAACCUAAAGGGUUUAUUGAGAGGAGUAUGACUGUUAUUGCUUAGAUUGACGAGCAUGGGGCAGUGUUCAAAAUGGAUCCUGGGAAGGUGAGUAAUGUUAGCUUCUGGGUACUCAUUUAUCCAUUGGUUAUUAGCAAGACACCUGUCAAUUCUUUCUUGGAUUAGACAUGACCUAUUUUGUACCUCUUGUUAGACCAAGUAUAUUUACUACCUUUAAAUCCUAGGUCUACAAGGUGACAAUUGUUAAUACAGUUCCAAAAGGAGUUACUCUUGUGGGUGUUUAUAGGGUUUCCUCAAAAUUUGUCUCUUGCUUUCAGGAUUUUAUUGAAAUCUCCACCCACAAACCAACUCCAUAUAUGAUUAUUAGAGAUAUCAACUAAGUUAUCCCAGAGGGCCUUUCUAUCCUCAAUAUAGUUUCUAGCAUAAAAUACAGAAAAAAAUGAGGGUUUAAGGGUAAUAUCUUGACUAUGUCAUGGAUACCCUGAGAAUUUACAGCCACUUCAUCAACUUGGAGGGAAUAAUCCCUCCGCAUAAUCACUAUACCUCUAGAGUAGACAACAGCAGGGAACUGGAUAUGCAUGUCGAAUUGAUGCUCUUUAGUUAGCUUUUUAUGGUGAACCAUUUUGGUCUCCAGGAGAACCAACAUCACAGGCUUGUGUAUUUUGACCAUGUCUGAGCAAUGACUCUUAAACUUUGCAUUGUUUGCCCCUCUAACAUUCCAUAUUAUGAAAUUCAUUAGAGGGUUCAAUGAUGGAGGGUUGUUGCUCGUUGAUGCCUUGUCACUGCCCUUAAGUUGCAUCUAUUCUUUUCCCCUGUGUUGAGAUUAUUGGGAUCUCAUCACUGGGUUAAGUUUAGGAGGGGUUUGAGUGUACCUUGACUCAAAUGAGAGGGGAAGUCCAUUCCGCAUCGAACUAGGUUCUUUGGGCAAAGCAUAAUCAAAGCCUCGAUAUGUUCCACACUGAACUCCACAGCUCUUACUGUUUCCAGCCAUAGUGAAUCCACCCUCACUAGGUUGUCGAUUGGGGUUGCUUCCUGGUCUAUUGGCACCUCGUGAUUCCUCAGUAUCUCCAGGGCUAUUGAUAUUUCUUUGGAUAUGUUCCCCAAAGGAAAUUGAUGUUGUUUCUCCUGGGGUGGUUGCUGAUAUUUCUCUUGCACUGAAGGUGAAGUUUUCUGGGAUGAUUCCGAUUGGAAGAUGUUGAACUGAGGGGUUGCAUAGGGAUCCUUUACUGAUAGAUCUGGGAAGAACAUGAUGCUAUAGAAUAUUUGUUGUAUCCUAUUGUGGACAAAUGAAUCAUUACUCUGAUGCAUGUGGGUUGGGUGUGUAUGGUCCAUGACUGUCUGCCACAUUCGUACUCCAAGCAUCCCCAAACCCCUGUUUAGGGCUUCUGCAGUUACCCUUGCCAAAUGAAUUGGAUUCUGUAUGAUUAGAGAGAUUGGUUGAUCAUCCAACUAAAAAUUGUAGCAUAAGGCUUGUCCAUGGAGUGCCAGUUCCAACCAUGACGCUGGUAGGUUGGAUGGAGGUUAGAAAGAUUGGGGGGUUGGGAUUGGGUUCCAUUUUUGGGUUUUUGUCUGCCCGUUUUUGGAUUAGUAAUAAAAUGUAGGCUAUUGGGGAAUCAAUCAUUUUUGGGGGUUGUGGAUUUGGAUCUACAGACAUGCUUAUUAUUUUGGGGUUUGUGUCUGAUACAUAUAGAAUGGGAUUAUUGUGAUAUCCGGUUUAAUUGAUGGGUUCUGUCCAAUCACUUAGGAUUUCUUGAUUAUUCAGCUUUGGAUCUUGAGCUUUCAUGGAGGGAUUUUUCCCGAUUGGUGUUGGUAGAGAAGACGUAGUGUUGUAGGAGUCAUCACUAGGGUAUACCAUGGAGUCUAUUUUUGCAGAGGUGGCCCAAUCGGGUUUUUUAGUUUUCAUCUUGCCCUUUGGGCUUAGUUGACUUUGGGUGUGGGGUAGUGUCCGUUUGGUUUGGGUUACUGAGUAUGGGGUUCGACUUUGUUUUUGUUUGUGUUGUGAGCCCCUAUCUAAAAUUAGUGUGCAUUUAUGCAUUCCCCUGGGUCUGUUUUUCUCUUAAUGCUUAUUUGGGCCUUUCUCUGCUAGGUUGCCCGGCUGUAACUUGCUUUUUAGAUUGUUGUUUCUUUGUACUAAUGGGUUGGGCCCAGUCCAUAUCCUGCAAAGGGUUAGAUUUAGAGGUAUAUCGGAAAGUUUGAGUCUCAAGGAAGUUAUCAAAUGUAGCAUCGAACAUUUUUACUUUGAUGCCCUCUAGAUUUGUUGGUGAUUUGCCCUAUUCUUGUCCGUUCCUUCAUUUUGCUGCGUGUUGCUCUCUUUUUUUUUUUUUGCGCCUUCUGGGGAAAGAGACAACUUUCCGUUCCUCUUAUUUCUCAGUAUCUAGUAUUUGUCUUGAAUCACUAUUUGACUUUAUAUUUGAGCACUCUACGUUAUCUUGUAUAUGUGUUUGCUAUAAUUUUAUCUGUGUAAGCAUCCUCUUGUAGUGUGCCAUAUCUUUCCACACCUAAUGUAUAGCACAUUUUCUCUUUCAUAGACCACUAGCUGUUUAUGGUCCCCUAUUGUAACUGAGGUAGCAACUGGUGUUUCCAAGGAUACCUGGAUACAUAUUCUUGCGUAUCUACCUCUGAGAGUGGCUGAGGUGCACUUAUCUAUUUUUAGGAGUUUGCCUACUUUUUCUAGGACCUCUUUAUCGUAGAAUUCAGUCGGUAGUUGUGGAAGACUUACCCAUAUUGCAGUGAAGGAUAGUGUCGCUUCUUGUGGAACGAAUUUGAAUUCCCAUCUUCUGACUGAAAGGAAACUUCCAGAGGCGAACCAUGGCCCUUUUGUAUAGCUUUCACUAGAUUUUCCUCUUUACCAAAUUUAACUAUGAAAAAAUUUCAUCCUAGGUCAAUCAAGAUCAAUAUUUCGGAUGGGUUCCAUAAAUCAACUAAUUUAGAUCGGAGGAGAUAGUGUGGUAUUCGUUUUCCAAAGAGUUUUAUGAUGACUGAGUAAUGCCAUGGUUAUAACCUAUUUUAUCCUCCUAAGAAAGUAGGAUUGGACCUGAUGUUUCCUUUCCUUUGUGUUGCGUUAUGGUGAAUUCUAGUUCUUAAGCAAAGUAGUCAGCUUGUGUUGUAUUUUGCUUGUUUAGGAGCAUUUUCUUGUAAGAGUGGAAUUGAGGUGUGUCUUCUUCCAUGACAGUGUCAUCCGGUGGCUCCAAUGGUAUAUUAGGUAAUUUAGGUAAAUUUUUCAUUAGUUGUGUGUAGUGAUGGAUGAGAGUUUCUCUCACUAACUGUUGGAAUAUUGGAACUCCUUUCCACUUCAACUUCUAUUAUAAUAGUAGGAGUAUAUUAUUUUGCUUAUUGUUGCUUUGUUGUUCUUUUUCUGUCCUUGUUUUUCUACUUCUUGUUAGGAUUUCUUGCUAUUCUUAUCAAACUUCAUUUUAGUUCAAAAAAGUUUAAAGCUUUCCAUAAAUUGAAUUUUAGUUCUUUUUUUCAUUGCUAAAAGAAUGGGAGUGCUUUAUUGAAAUUACAUGUAAUUGUUUAAUUUAAAUUAGUUAAUAUUAUAUUAAAAUUGUUAGUUUGUGAGAUACUCAAAAUUUUAUUUUGGCAUACCAUAUCUUUUUCAUUAAUCAUUUUUGAAUUAAUUAGUUUAGUUUAAAACUUUGUUUGCCGUAUUUUGUUUGUAACUUUGUUGUUUUAUUUCUUAAAGUUAUAAUACGAUUCUUAAGUUGGUUGAACACUUUUCUAUAUUUUAUAAUUUAUGUAGAUAAAUUUCAAACAUUUAAAUAGACUUUUUCUCUAAAAUAAUUUUUCUCGAACUUGUAAAAAAAAUUAUAUGACUUUAUUUUGAAGUCAUGUGAUGGAAAGAAAAAACAUUGUGCAAAUGGUAUUUAUUGGUGCACUUGUUAAAUUGACUAUCGUAAUUUUAAAUUAAACUUGUUUAUAUAAAAUUCUGAGUUCGUUAAUGUAUCAUCGGCUGGUCUUGCCCUCCUAACCACGGUUGGCACUCGUUUUGGCUAACGUGCGCCUAGAGAGAGAAAGAGGGCAACAUGUGAAUUGAAAAUUUGAAAUGCAUACAUGUCUUUUCAAAUUAUUACUACUGAUGUUAGCGUACUCUUUUCCUUUCUUUUUUAUAAGUAGGCAUUUGAAUAUAAAAAUUGCAAUUUUUGAAAAAAGGUAAUCCUUCUUUUCAAUUUAGGUGACGCGCUUUUUUCAAUUAGUUCAUUCUAAAAAAAUAAUAAAUUUUUAUAAUUAAAAAAUAAUUUAAUUUUAAACUUUUUAUUUUAUUUAUUUUAUUUUAAUAAGAAUCUUUUAUUAUCACACAAAUAUCAUUAUUCAUCAAAAAUUUUAUCUCUUAAACUUUUAAGACCACAAAUUUUAAAAGUUUUUUUUCUUAAAGCUUCGUGCCGGAUCAAAGUAUCUCAUCUAAAUUGAAAUCGGGGAGGGUAAUAUUUAGAAUUAGGUUGAAAAAUAAUAAUUUGGAAUUUGAAAUUAUUUUUAUGUAUUUUACCUGAAAAAUAUUGUAUUUUUUUAAGUGUGGAAAUAAAAAUUUCUAAAAAUAUUACAAAAAUGAUCAAAAUUACUUUUAAAUUUUUGAAAAAUUCAUUUUCCAAAAAUUUCAUUGUACAAAAUGUUAAAGGACAAAUACGUCUUUGAAAAAAAAUCGAAAACAAACUUCUAUGGCAAAACGUGUCCUAAAUGUUACGUAGAUUUUAUCAUUCAGGACAACCGACAAGAAAAUUGUGGAGGCUAUUCAAACAAACCGCCACUUAUAUCACCACAAAUUCAUGCAUGUGGUCACUAAGAAGCCACUACAUCAACUACCAACAAAAAAACAAAGGAAGCCACCACACUAAUUUCCAAACAACUAAUCUAACACUUUAUUUUAUAUUCACAAAUUUAAUUGGAUAUGAAAUUAUAAAAAGAAAGAAAACACGUCUGACACAACCUAAAGUACCCCUAUUAGGACACGUGGUCUUAACAUUUUCAUGACAAUUAGGGCGUGCAAUUAAACAUAAAAUGAAAAAUUAAAGUUAUGCUAUAAAAUAAAGACUUUAAAGUAAAAAAAUUAAAGGCAAGUAAAGGGUUCUAUUAUUUAACUUCAAAAUCAUGUAUAUAAUGAACUGAAAUCUUUUUAUUUAUUGAAAAAAGAAAGUUGUUGUGUAAAUUGCUACUGCAAGCUGUUACUAUAAGCUGUUGUGUAAGCUGCUACUAUAUUAGAUAUGGAUAAUCUUCUACUGAAAGCAAUGUUUAUCCACAAUGAAUACUGAACAGAUAAGUUUAUUGUACCCAAUAUAAAUAAUCUUCUACUAAGCGUAAUGAUUAUCCAUAACGGAUUAGUGAAAGGAUAAGCUUAGUGUAUCUGGUAUAGAUAAUCUUCUACUGGAGAUAAUAUUUAUCCAAAAUGGAUUAUCAAAAGGAUAAGCUUAUUAUACCUGGUAUGGAUAAUUUUCUAUCGGAUGGGGUAAUGUUUAUCCAUACCCGGGUACCGAAGUGACCGAAGUUAUAAGCUUUUUCAGGAAGCUUAUUUCCAAUAGAGUACUCAAUAGAUAAACAUAUUAACGACGGCGGUCCCAUAUGGAUAAGCUUCUUCAGGAAGCUUAUUUACGACGGAGUAUUAAAUAAACAUCCAUAAUAUAAUAUAUUUAUAACACUCCCCUUGGAUGUUAAAAGAUAAUGUGCCUCGUUAACACCUUACUAGUGAAAAUUCCGUGGGAAAAAAGAUCCUAGUGAAGAAAAAAGAGUACACAUAUAUAGUAAUACGCAUUGGUAGGUGCCUCAUUAAAAACCUUAUAAGGAAAACCUUGUGAAAAAAAAUUGCAGUAAGGAAAAAAGAGUGCAUCGCGUAUUUUACUCCCCCAGAUGAAAACUUUGUUUCAAAUAUUCGCAUUCCAAUCUUGUAUACCAUCUUCUCGAAAAAUUAAAUUUAUAGAGAAUAUUAUCCACUAUUAUUUCAAAUCGAGUUAAAUUAUCUCAUCAAACCAAGAAGCUGCUACAAGCCAUUUCAUUGAGUUGUUUGUAACCUUCCUGCAUCAACUGAUUGUAGAAAACUUCAAUGGGUUACUAAAUGUAUAGUAUUCUCCAGGAAGAUUAUCUACACCAGAGUAAAAAAUGGACAUCCACAAUAAUAUUUUCAUUACACUCCCCUUUGGAUGUUCAUUAUUAUGUGUCUCAUUAAAACCUUACUAGAAAAAACCAUGUGAAAAAAAAGUUCUAGUUAAGGAAAAAGAGUGCACUAAUAAUAUACAUUGUAACCUGCCUCAUUAAAAAUCUUACCAGGAAAAACUUAGUGGGAAAAAACCUGAGAAAGGAAAAACGAGUACAGUACAUAAUUUAUACUCCCUAAUAAAGACUUGGGUAUUUCAGGACCAAGAGUUCGUCAUUCUCUUCUAUAGGUAAUAAUUUAUCCUUAAUCCAUGUAAGAGAAGAACUGUAUCUUGCUAGUAAAUUAACAGAAAAUGCUAUGUCAGGCCUUGUAGUAUUAGCAAGAUACAUUAGUGCACCAAUUGUGCUGAGAUAGGGUACUUCGGGACCAAGGAGUUCCUCAUCCUCUUCUAGAGGUCGGAACAAAUUCUUAUCCACUUCAAGUGAUCGAACAAUUAUUGGUGUACUCAAUGAGUGCACUUUGUCCACGUAAAAGCUUUUUAAGUUCUUUUUUGUAUUGGUAAAUUGAUGGAUAAAGAUCACAUCUGCUAAUUGUUCAAUUUUUAGACCAAGACAAAGCUUUGUCUUCCCAAGAUCUUUCAUCGCUAAUUCUUUCUUCAAUUGCCUUUUGAAGCUCUUCUGAAGUUCCAACAGGAUUUAAAAAUAUUGUCACGACCCCAGUUCACCGAUUGUGAACAUGUCAUGACGGCACCUAGUCUUCACUACUAGGUAAGCCUAACACAUUGCGGAAGUAACAACAUUUAUGAAAUUUAAAAUCCAAAAGCAAAAUAACAUGAAUAAUGUAUAUAGUUGUCGUAUGGCACAUACACUUUGACACUUUACAAUCUGGAACUAUCCCAAAGACCCAGAAACCCACGGGCAGUACAGGCUAAGAGUAAAACAUAACAUCGUUCUAAUCGUCCAGAAAAUUCUAUAACAAAGAAGACAGAAUAGCAUCUUACUAGCUAAAAGGGGUAGAGUGAGAGGGAGGCUCUCCGGUCUGCGGAUUGCGGACACGGCAGAUAUAUCUCAAGUCUCUGAAAUGCUCCAUCCAGCUACUGAUAAUGCCCAUGCGUAGAGGUACCUAGAUCCGCACAUGAAAACUAUGCGUGGAAAAGGCGUGAGUACACCAAUGUUGGUACUCAGCAAGUGCCAAGCUAGUGACGAGGAAAGGUCGAGGCCCUACUAAGAUAAAAAUAUAACAAUCAAUAGAAUAAGGAAAACCAUAGGAAAUAAUCUACUACUAGAAUCUAGCAAAAAUAAUAAAUAAGACAGUAACCGAGAACUAAUACAGUAAUUACAUACAAGUGCAAAUCACCACCGGAUAUAUGUCAUCGAGGAUCUCCUGGUAUCCCGAGGAUCUCCUGGUAUCCUCAUUAUAUACAUAAGGGAUCUCUUAGUAUCCCGGGGAUCUCUUGGUAUCCUCUACUUUAUAAUCAUAUCUGUUCCAGGGAUCUCUUGGUAUCCCGAGGAUCUCUUGUUUUCCUCCAUUUUUGUAAUCAUAUCAGUGCUAGGAAUCUCUUGGUAUCCUCCAUUUUGUAAUCAUAUCUAUGCCAGGGAUCUCUUGGUAUCAUCCAUUUUGUAAUCAUAUCUAUACCGGGGAUCUAUUGGUAUCCCCCACUCUCAGUCAUAGAACGAAACACAUACAAAGGGAAUUAGCAGGAUGCCGUCCCGCAAUACCAAUUCGUAGUACCACACAAUUCAAAUAAGAUAAGGUGCUAAAUAAGAGCAAUUAAUGAAAUUUCUAGUCUAGCAUGCUUCACGUAGGACAUGUAAUACAGUUUAAGUAACUAAGCAAGUAAGUCAUCUAAACAUGCUUAUCCUAAGCUACACAGGUUAAAUAAUAUUUAAAAUAGGCAAAUUUGCAAGAAAACACAGUUAAAUAUUCUAAGUAAAAUGGAUUUUUCAUCAACCAGCACAAGCACAUGCUCGUCACCUCGCGUACCAAGCAUUUAAAAUGACAAGUAAUAGAUCCUAAGGGGAGAGGUCCCCCACAUAAGGUUACUAUGAAACGAUGCCCUUGCCACGAGUAUCCAACUUCGAAUUGCCCGAAUCUAUUUAACCAAAUAUAUAAUGUAAAUAACAUCGCAAGUAACUAAUUCCACUAUUAAAAUUAAAGCUAAGGCGCAAAAAUAGGUAAAAUAACCAAAAAGCCCCUCAGGCCAACGUCUCGGAAUUGAAUAAUUUUCACAUUUUCGGAAACCCCAUACUCUCACAAGUCUAACCAUAUAAAAAUCUCUCAAAUCGGAGGUCAAAUGCCCCCCUCAAAUCCUCACAAUUAUGUCUAAGAACUUUACACCAAUUUUCAUUCAAAAUUCAAACUUAAAGGUUGAAUUUGAGGUUUGAUUAGUGGGUAUUAAUCAUAGAGGAGUAAGGAAUCGAUACCCAAUCGUUGUCUCAUAAAAACCUUCAAAAAGUCCCUCCAAUCCGAGCUCUCUAGCUUGAGUUUUGUUAAAAAUGAUAGAAAACCUCGUUUUUGAAAUAUUAAUGUCGUUCAGGGGUUAAAGCAUCGCGAACGCGAAGGGACUCUCGCGUUCGCGAAGAGAAAAAUGUAAGUGACUAAGUUUGCACUUCGCGAUCGCGAAGGAAGGACUGCGAACGCGAAGGCCUGGGGCUGGUAGGCACACAAACGCGACAAGGCUUACGCGAACGCGUAGAAGGAGCAUGAGGGGUCCAGGAAUUGACCUUACGCAAAUGCGUAGUAUGGGACGCGAACGCGUAAGAGGGGAGAGAUGGGUUUCGCAAAUGCGGGGUAGGGGACGCGAAUGCGAUGAAGGAUAAAGCCAAGUCUACGCGAACACGAUGGUUGGUUCGCGAACGCGUAUAAGGAAAUCUGGUCUUCAAUUUUCUGCAGCAAAUUCCAAACUCUAAUUGUUCCGUUGAGCAUCCGAAACACACCGGAGGCCCUUGGGACCUCGACUAAACCUAUGUACAUAUCCCAUAACAUCAUCCAAACUUGUACCAAUCCUUAAACCACCUAAAAUAACGCCAGAAGCUCGAAUUAACCAAUGAUUUGAUUCUAAGAACUCCAAAACUCAAACAAACUCGCUUUUGAUAAAAAACCUAACCAAACCUAGUCUGAUUGACCUGAAAUUUUGCAUGCAUGUCCGAGAUGACAUGAUGGUGCUACAGCAACUUUCAGAAUCAUGUUCUGUUCCUCGGAUCAAAAAUUUACAAUCGAACUGGAAACGUCAAAAUUCUAACAUUACGGCAUUUCUGGUCUAAUUGAGCUACGGACAUCCAAAACACAUUCCGGACACGCUCCCAACCCCGAAAUUACCUAACGGAGCUAACGUAACCAACAAAUUGCAUUCCGAGGUCAUCUUCACACUACUCCAAUCACGAACCAAUUUCCAAUACGUAAGCUCUCAUUUAGGAGCUAAGUGCCCCCAAAACACUCCGAAUACUAACACCGAACGUCCCGGAAAACCAAAAUAGUAGUAAUAAACUUAGGGGAAAUAGUUAAUGGGGAAACGGGGCAUAAACUUCAAAGACAACCGGUCGGGUCAUCACAUCCUCCUCCACUUAAACAUUUGUUUGUCCUCGAACGAGCAUAGAGAACAUACCUGGAGUAGAAAAUAGAUGAGGCUAUCAGCUGUGCAUAUCCCGCUCGGUCUCCCAAGUCGCCUCCUUGGCCGGCUGGCCCCGCCACUGAACCUUUACUAAAGCUAUAUCCUUUGACCUGAGCUUUCGGACCUAAUAUCGCCACUAGCUCAUCAACAUAGGACAGGUCAUUGUCCAGCUGGACUGAAGUGAACUCCAACACGUGAGCCGGGUCACUGUGAUAUCUUCAAAACAUCGAGAUGUAAAAUACCGGAUGAACCCCGGCCAAGGUGGUAGGUAAGGCAAGCUCGUAAGCAACCUCCCCAACUCGCUUCAAAAUCUCAAAAGGGCCAAUGAAUCUCGGACUCAACUUCCCUUUCAUCCCAAACCUCAUGACGCCUUUCAUAGGCGAGACCCCAAGCAGAACCCGCUCAUCAACCAUAGAGGAAACAUCACGAACCUUUCGAUCCACGUCACUCUUCUGUCUAGACUGGGCCGCACAAAGUUUAUCCUGAAUCACCUUAACCUUCUCGACCGCAUCCUGGACCAAUUCAGUGCUCAAUAGCCUGGCCUCACCCAGCUCGAACUAACGCACCGGGGAUCUGCAUCUCCAACCAUAUAAGGCCUCACACGGCGCCAUCUGAAUGCUGGACUGACAAUUGUUGUUGUACGCAAACUCAGCCAAUGACAAGAACUGAUCCCAAAACCCUCUAAACUCAAUCACGCACACACGGAGCAUAUACUCAAUAAUCCGAAUGGUGUGCUCGGACUGUCCGUCCGUAUGAGAGUGAAAAGAUGUACUCAUAGUCACCUGGGUACCCAACUCCUGCUGGACGACUCUCCAGAACCAUGAUGUAAACACUGAACUCUUGUCUGAGAUGAUAGAAACUGGAAUGAAGUGCAGACAGAACAUCUCCCUAAUAUAAAUCCCCGCUAACCGCUCCUCUAAGUUAGUAGUACACACUGGAAUAAAAUAAGUGAACUUGGUCAGCCGAUCCACAACAACCCAAAUAGAAUCAAAUUUCUUCGCAUUCAGAGGAGACCAGCUACAAAGUCCAUAGUGCUUUCUCCCAUUUCCACUCCGGAAUUUCCAUCUGCUGGAGUAAUCCUCCUGGUCUCUGGUGCUCAUCCUUUACCUACUGAUAGUUGAGACAUCUAGCUACAAACUUUGCUACAUCCUUCUUCAUCCGCCUACACCAGUAAUGCUGCCUCAGAUCCUGAUACAUCUUCGCGGCUCCCGAAUGGAUGGAGUACCGCGAGCUAUGGGCCUCUGUCAAUAUCAACUCCCGAAUAUCAUCAACAUUGGGUACACAGAUCUGACCCUUCAUCCUCAAUACCCUAUCAUCUCCAAUAGUCACAUCCCUAGCAUCGACAUGCUGAAUUGUAUCCUUGAGGACAAGCAAAUUAUGGUCACCAUAAUGCCGCUCCCUGAUACGAUCAAACAAUGAAGACCGAGAAACCACAUAGACUAGAACCCGACUGGGCUCCGAAAGGUCCAAUAUCACAAACUGACUGGCUAAAGCCUAAACAUCCAUUGCCAUAGGUCUCUCCGAAGCUGGUAAAUAUGCCAAACUCCCCAAACUCUCCGCCCGGUGACUCAAGGCAUCGGCUACCACAUUGGCCUUUCCCGGGUGAUAAAGAAUAGCAAUACCACAAUCCUUCAGUAGCUCCAAAAACAAGGCACACCGUACAAAUAAUGAUGCCAGAUCUUCAAGUCAUGAAGAAUACCAGAUAACUCAAGGUUAUGGACAUGGUAGUUCUUUUCAUGUACCUUCAACUGUCUGGACACGUAGGCAAUUACCCUAUCAUCUUGCAUCAACACCGCCCCAAGUUCGACUCGUGAGGCAUCACAAUAAACUGCAUAGGACCCCGAACCAGUAGGUAAUAUUAGAAUAGGGGCUGAAGUCAAGGUUGUCUUGAGCUUCUGAAAGCUCGCCUCACACUCAUUUGUCCACUGAAAGGGAGCACCCUUCUGGGUCAAUCUAGUCAUAACGGUUGCAAGUCUGAUUGACCUAAAAAGUUUCACGCAUGUCCGAAUGACAUGAUGGUGCUACAGCAUCUUUCGGAAUCCCGUUCCGAUCCUCAGAUCAAAAAUUCACUAUCAGACUGGAAACUUCAAAAUUCUAACAUUACGGCAUUUCUAGCCUAAUUGAGCUACGGGGAUCCAAAACGCAUUCUGGACAUGCUCCCAACCCCGAAAUCACCUAACUGAGCUAACGGUUCCAUCGAAUUUUUAUUCCGAGUUCAUCUUCACACUGCUCUAAUUACGGACUACUUUCCAACACUUAAGCUCUCAUUUAUGGACUAAGUGUCCCAAAACACUCAAAAUUCUAACACCGAACGUCCCGUCAAACUAAACUAACAGUAAUAAACUUAGGGAGACAGUUAAUGGUGCAAUGGAGCAUAAAUUCCAAAGACGACUGGCCGGGCCGUCACAAAUAUAAACAACAAGUAUAAGAAAAAUUUGAAGCCAUUUUCUUUAUAAAAAUACAUGGACAAAUAGCAUCAUUUAUGUAACCCUCUUUCAGCAAAUUUUCACUGAGACGAUUAUACCACAUGCGCCCAGAUUGCCUUAAACCUUAAAAAGAUCUUUGUAAUAUGAUUGAGUACAUUUCCUGAGAUUUUGAAUAUGCUUCAGGCAUUUUAAAUCAUUCAGGGAUCUUUAUAGAGAUUUGACCAAAUGAGUCGUAUAGGUUAUGCUCGCAUUUAAAUAUCAUGACAUCAUUAGAUGUUUGGAAUAAUGGUCCGAUCCUCACAAUAUUUUACAUUAUUAUGCACUAUAUUGUAUCAAAUAUAUCAUCGAUGAUCAUUUUGUAUUGAUUCGCAAGCGACAUAACUUGUUGAGAUCUCAUCACAUUCUUUAUUUUCAGGUACCUGAACUUCUUCUGGAGUUUCAUGAAAUGUUAUGUCGUGGGCUCUUCUAGAGCUUAUUUCCUCCUUAUUAUGAUCAUUAGCUCCUUAUAAUUUUUCAAGGAUUGUUACCUUUCGAACAAAUUGGUCUGCCACGCUUCAUGCGUACAGUAAACUCAAUCCUUCAAGGACAUUAAAUUUUAAUAUGAGCAUUUGCAGCUAAAAUAUGAUAUUUAAUUUUAGAUUAGCAAAUGCUUCUAACAUUUUACUUGAAUUAUCUUCUAAGUGAGGAUCAUAUUAAUGAUAAUUCGAUUCAUAUAGCAUAUUUUUGAGUUGUUUAUUCCAUCCCCUAAAUGUUAGCAAAACUAACAUAUAACCACAAUCUUUUUUGGAAAACAUAUCUUUGUGUAUUGUGGUAGAGAAAUUAAUCAUAUACCAGACAUCCAAAGAAAGUAAAAAUAUUUAGUUUCUGAUCCUAAACCAAUUUUGAGGGGAGGACUUAUCAUAUACUGUUGGUCUGAUGCAUAUACGUGCUGCUAUAUGCAGUUAUGAAAAUGGAGCCCAACACAUGGAGCCCAACACAUGGAGCUUUAUUCUCAUAAAUAAUAGUUUAACUGUUAGUAGGAGGUAUUCAUUGCUAAACCAGCUUGGAUAUAAACCAGCAUUAUGAAGAUGAACUGUCUUGAUUUCAUAAUCUGAAAGUUAUGCUCUUAAUUGAGAAAAGCAAUCUCAAAUGCCAAACUCCAGGUUGACAAUAAACAUAUAAGUAACCAUCUUAUAUAUGAAUCUAUAAGUGGUUCACAUGGCAGGUGAAUGUGCUCAUAUUCACCUUUUAUAUAUUUCAAAAUCAGGGGCUUAAUCCUAACUUUAGCUGGUAGAAUCAAUUUAUUAUGAGAACAAGCAACAUAGAAGAAUUCUUGAAGAAUCUUCUAGGUCUUCAUUAUAUGCUUAUCUAAAUUCUCAAAUAGCUAAUUUAAAAAUGGCAAAUUAAAACUUCAAGUUUAUCAUGACAUGUGUUAUAUCUUAGUAAACUUCUAGUUUACAAUGUCACAAACUUUUGCAUUAGUAAACUUCUGAUUUACUGUGGCUACUUUUGUAUAAGUAGAUUUCUAAUUUAUUGUAGUUGAGUUUGCAUUAGUAAAUUUCUGGUUUACUGUGAUACAUGUCAUUUCAUUAAUAUAUACAUCGGUCGCCCACGAAUCGACAUUCUCAUCUUCCAGAUGAAUCUCGUCUUAUCAUGCCAAUCCUUUCAAACUUGUAGUACAAAUUUAAGGAUAAGGCCCGUUACUUCUCACAUACAUAUUUACCUCAUAUGAUUGUGGAAAUAUGAAGAAUUUUAAUCUUUUAAUCAUUUGUAGUCUCAGUAUGAUUACUUCAUGUUUAUUACAACAUAUGUUUUGACCAUAGUCAUAUAAUAUGAAUGACAUAUUUGUAUAUAAGCUCUUCGAGAGACUUCAUUUAUUAUCCACAAUCUAACAUUUAUCGUAUACUACUAGUGUCAUAUGUCUUCUAGACAAAUAGUUAACUCUUCAGAAGUUUUAGAGACUUCAUUUAUUAUCCACAAUCUAAUAUUUAUCGGACAAUAUUAGUGUCAUAUGUCUUCUCAGCAAACAGUUAGCUCUUCAGGAGCUUUUGAUAAAUUUUUUACUACCAAAUAUCGCUCAGACACUUCACCAAUUUUGUGACAAAUAUCUCCUUCAGGGAGAAAUGCCAUUAACAUAUGAAUAUUUUAUAUCAAAGUGGUAACCACAUUACAUCCUUCAGGAAAAGAUACACGAGUUAUUAUUUGCUUCGGGGAACUCGAUAAUUAACCAUAGCAUGUGGUUGUAGUAUAAAGCAUUCUACAAGAAUACUUUUGCCUUAAAAUGAUAGUUAAUAUAAAAAAAUUAAGAUAUUUUACAUACAACGGGUACGUGCAACAAUGAUCUUUAUGCCACAAAAAUGAGAUUUAUAUUCUUUGUUAUUCUUCAUCUUCAGGAUGUGAGUUGUGGUAUUGCUUCAUUCACUCGAGGGAGUGAAAAUGUGCUUCAAAAAUAACUUUGAAUAGCUUAUUAUUUUGUUUAAGCACAGAAAGACACAGUUUCAUAAUAUUUUUCUAUUUGAGGAGAAAAUUUUAAUUGUGUUACUUCUUCAGGAAAAAAUUUAAAAUACAAAAUAUUGAGGAUAUAUUCACUCAAUCAUAUUACCUCUUCUGGAGGUGAAUUGUAAUAUAUUCAAAUCAAAAGCACAUGUACAUUUACGAGCUUUAUUAAUAUUGUCACAUUCACUUUAGGAAUAGAUUAAUAUUUAUCAAAAGUUCUUAUCAUUCAGAGAACGGAACAUAAUUAUCUGAAUAUUCAUUAAUCACACCAAAUCGUGUGAUUCUUCAACCUCUUUUAAGAUAAUGCUACUUUAGGAGCAAAUCGAGGUAUGCAAGUAAUAUAGAGAAUUAUCUUCAAUUGUAACCAUAGAAAGCCUAGAUUAUCGCUUCCGGCGGUCAUAGGCAUAUACCACUUCUGGUGGUUACCAAAAUUUAGUUACAAUGAGAUAUAUGAAAUAUAAUCACUUCUGGCAGUUGUAUAUUUCUUGUAAACUAUGAUGGAGUUUAAAUUGAUCUAACAAUAUUAUACACUUUGUAAUCCUUUAUUAGAUAAUAAGAAUAGAAACAAAUACCAAAAUAGGUAUUGUAUAUGUAAAACAUAACCAAGCAGACGAUGCUAAAUAUAUUAAAAUAUAAGCAAAAGGCUCAAAUUAAACUAUGAAAAUUAGGUCACUCCAGAUGUAAGUGAUAUCUACAUCACUACUGCCAAGAAGAAAAACUCACCAUCUCAAGUAUAUAUUCAGCCUUAUGAUGCUCAGAGUGAAUAAGAUCUAUCCACGAAUGUAAGCGUGUCACCUUACAUCAGAGAUGUAUAUUGAAAUAGAAAUUAAAUUCAAAGUAAGUGCUCAAAAUGAUAGAGCCUCGUGCUGAUAACGUAUUAUAAAAUAAAGAAUUUAGUAAAGAAAUCAAAGACAAGUAGAUAGAGAGAUUUAUUAUUCAACUUCAAAAUCAUGUACAUAAUGAACUAAAAUCUUCUAUUUAUAGAAAAAAAGAAGCUGCUACUGCAAGCUGCUGCUAUAAGUUGUUGUGUAAGCUGCUACUAUAUCAUAUAUGGAUAAUCUUAUAUCAAGAGCAAUGUUUAUCCAUAACGAAUACUGAAUGGAUAAGCUCAUUGUACCCAGCAUAGAUAAUCUUCUACCAAGUGUAAUGAUUAUCCAUAACGGAGUACUAAAAGGAUAAGCUUAAAGUACCCGGUAUAGAUAAUCUUCUACCGGGGAUAAUAUUUAUCCAUAACGGAUUAUCGAAGGGAUAAACUUAUUAUACCCGGUAUGGAUAAUUUCUACCGGAGGUAAUGUUUAUCCAUAACCGGGUACCGAAGUUACUGAAGUGAUGGCUUCUUCAGGAAGCUUAUUUCCAAUAGAAUACUCAAUAGAUAAACAUAUUUACGACAGAGUCCCAUAUGGAUAAGCUUCUCCAGGAAACUUAUUUACUACGGAAUAUUAAAUGAACAUCCAUAAUAUAAUAUAUUUAUAACAAGUUAGAAUUUUUUUAAAUAUAAAAUAUUUUCUUUUCGCUAUAACAUACAAAAAGGAAAGGGGUUUUGACACACCUACCCACAAAAAUAAAACUAUUUACCCUUGUCUACCAAUUUGUUUUCACUACCUAUAAACUAAUUAUACUUCCUACCCAUAAUAGGUUUUGUAGGGCAUUUUUCCUUUAAUCUUCAAUUCUUUUUUAUUUCUAUGCUUUUUUUCUUUUCUCCUUUUUUCCUCAUUUUCUUCUUAUUCUUUUUCUUUUUUCCUAUUCUAAUUUCAUUUAAGUUCUUUUUUAUAUGCUUUUUCUCUUCAUAAUCUAAUUUCAUUUACUAUUUUCACUAUUUUUUAUUAUUCUUUUUUAUAUAUAUUAUUACUAAAUAAAAAUCAAAUCGUGUAUCAAUUAAAUGUAGAUAAUACAAUAAAAAAUAUAUUAACUAACAUUUGAUACCAGUAUAGUAUAUAGUUAUACCAACAGGGUAUACAAUUGUACGCAAAGAGUUAAAGAGUUUAAUUCAAUUAUCAAACUGAAAUAAUAUCAGUUGUCAAUAAAAAAUCUAAAAGGAUCUAAUUGUUAGAGUAUAAUGUUAUACAUUAUAUAGCAAACUAUAAUUUAUUUAUUUUUUAUUUUCAAUUUGCCGCUCACGCUAGGUAAAAGCUUAAAACAAAUUAAAAGGAAAAAAAGCAAGUGAAUUUACGGAUAAUAAGUAUACUAUUAUAAUAUAUUGUAUACUAUUACAGUAUAUUGUUACAAUAUCUUGCAUAUUAUUAUAAUAUACCAUAACAAUAUAUUUGUAUACUAUAAUGGUCUACUAUUAUAACACAAUUAUAUACUCUUAUAAUAUAUUAAUAUACUAUAACGAUAUACUGUUAGGUAACAGUCUUCAAUUAUUAUUAGAAAGUAACUACUUCCAUAUGCAGAAUAAAAAAUGAGAUUACGUGCUGAACUAGGUAAUUAAUAAGUGAGAAUACUUCACAAAAACAAAAGGACACAGAAGAAGGAAGGGAUAAUUUCGGUGCCAAACUUGAAAUGACCAAACAUAAACGGAUUUGCAAUGAGAAAAAAUAGGAGAAUUUAGUGGCUAGCUACUGUUUCUCUUGAAAUAGGGACUUUUGGUUGCUAAGUAUAAAUCGGAGGGUACGCACUCCGUAUACUGUCCAAAUGCGGGUAAAUAGUUAUAAAUGCAUGAAUAGGAGUAGUAAUUAGUUUGGGCAUAAGUAUUAAAAGGUAAAUAGUUUAGAAUUAAUGAGUAUAAAGUAGAAUUUUCCCAAAAAAAAAAAGUAAAACAUAACGGGUUUGUUUGGUUUGGAAAAAGUAUUUCCGAAAUAUAUUACUUCUUUUAUUUCACUUUAUGUGAUGAGGUUUAGAGUAUGAAGAUCAAACUAUCUACUAUUUUUAGUGCGAAUUCAUACAUAGAAUCUUCAAAUUUUUCUGUAAUAAAAAUAUUUAUAUAUUUUAAAUUAAAUAAAAAUAUUAUAAUUUAUAAUAAAUUAAUAAUUUAAAAUAUUUAAAAAGCAUAUGAGAAAAUAACAGUAAACAAAAACUCUUUUAACUCUAUAAAUAGUAAAAACAAAAGCGGAAAACCCGUUUUUCCCUUUUGAUAAAAAAAUAUAUUUCAAAGAAAAAUAUUCUUUUUGAUGUUUGAUUGUCUAAUUAUUUUCUUUCUUCUGCCAAACCACACCCAAAAUGAAAUAUUGCUAUCCAGUACGUCUCUUAUCAAUCCCUCCCUCAACCUCAACCAUGAAAAUAUAAAAAGAAAGCACCUCAUCUCUUCUCUCCCACAGUAAAUUAGAUCAAAAUGAGUUGUACAAAAUUUGAAGGAGUUGAGAUAUUUGAUUUUGUGAUCAAGAAAGCAAAUGGAAUAAAAGGCCUAGUUGACACAGGCCUUGAAAAUGUCCCAAAACAAUGCAUUCAGCCAGAAAAUCAAAGACUAGACAAGAACCAAAAUAAUCAAGAAUCAAUCCCAACCAUUGAUUUGUCCAAUUGGGAUGAUGUAAACGUUGCAAAAUCAAUUCAAGAAGCAGCUAGCAAAUGGGGUUUCUUCCAGAUAAUCAAUCAUGGGAUUCCAAUUGAAGUUCUUGAGAAUUUGAAGGAAGCUGGUUACAGGUUCUUUGACUUACCAGCUGAAGAAAAAAUAAAGUAUUACAAGGAAAAUGCUGGACCUGAUGAAUCUGUGCUCAUGUUUUGGAGUGCUAUAGGUGAGAAAGAUGAGAAGGUUUUGGAAUGGAGGGAUAGUAUAGAACAUGGUUGUAAUCCUGGGGAUGAUAGUAAUCUUUGGCCUCCUCAAACCAGGUAAUUCGCUCUUCUCAUAAUCUGGGUUGGUUUACCUGCUAGAAAUUCGGUAGAAAUUGAUUAAUUUUGAUCGGUAAAAAAAUCGAUCAAAGGUCUGGUUUUUAAAAAAAAUUUAAUUUAUUUAUUCUUUUUGAAACCGACCGACUUUGGUCAGUUUUUUUUUGACGUAAAAAUACGGGAAAUUAUUUUUGAAUCCCGCGAAAUUUAUUUUUCAAAAAACCAACCAACUUUGGUUGGUUUUUGCAAUUAAAAUUAAUAUUAAAAAAUGGCCAACUUUGGUCGGUAAAAUCGGCCGGCCAUUUUAAAAAACUUACCAACUUUGGCCAGUAAUUUUAUUUUUUAAUAAAACCGACCAACUUUGAUUGGUUAUUUUCAUGCUAAAAUACAAUUAAAGAGUAUAAAUAAAUAAAAAGACAAUCUUAAAACAAAAUGCACCAAUGAUUUAGUGGUAAAUAGUAUCCUUCCAUAUUACACACCCCGGUUCGAUUAUCAAACGGUGAAUCUUUUGAUUGCAUCAUUAAAAUAUCGACCAACUUUAGUUGUUUCUUUUUUUUUUUUGCAAUAUGUUUUUUAGAAAUUAAUAUACCGACCAACUUUGAUCGGUAAUUAGCGAUCAACUUUGGUCGGUAAUUAGCGACCAACAUUGGCCGGUAUACAAAAGCGACCACUAAAAUAGAGGUUGCUCUGAUGGUAAGCAACCUCUACUUCCAAAUAAGAGGUUGUGAGUUCGAGUCUCCCCAAGAACAAAGUGGGAAGUUCUUGGAGGGUAGGAUGUGGAGGUUUAUUUCGAAACAGCCUCUUUAUUCCAGGGUAGGGGUAAAGUCUGCGUACACACUACCCUUCCCAGAUACCAUUAAGUGGGAUUAUACUGUGUUGUUGUUGUUGUUGUUGUAAAAUAGCCACCAAGCAUGUUUGGUAUGCAUUUUACAUAAACAGACCAACAUUGGUCGUUUUUUGUGAUCGCUAAAACCCGAUUUCUAGUAGUGUUUAUUCCCUAAAAAAGUCUAAUUCAUUAAGCUCCCGCUUUGUGCGAAAUCCGAAAAAAAAUUGGUCCAUAAGAAUCUAUCAUAUGCAGUCUUACCCUGUAUGAUAAAAUAGCUACAAUUUUUUUCCAAUUAAGUCACUCGGUUUAUAUACCUAGUUUAUAAAGUCACUAUAGUAGUAUAGUCACAAAACUAUUUUAUUAUCACAUUAAAUUUGUUGAAAUUUAGUCUUUGUAUAUAAAAGUAAUGUUAUUAAAUUUUUCCACUACAAAAAUAUAAUUUACCAUUAAGAUAAUGUUAUUGUUAUAGUGAAGAUCUUUUUAUAUUUUCAAUUAUUUUAACGUGACUUGGUGACUUUUGGGUCUAUGUUCUAUCUUAUUUGUUACUCCAUAUACUUUCUUACUCUUUUUUUUUUUGUGGGUCCAAACUUUCUUACUCUUCAAUUUUAUUGAUUAUCAAUCCCUUUCUUUUUGUCCUUUAUAUAUUUCAAGUUUCCGUUUCUGAGGAAAAAAAAAAUUGCUCUUCAAUGAUAGGGAUAAGAUUGGGUAUAAGGGUGUAUAAAUCAAAUCGAAAAAUCGCACUAAAUUAAAAGGUCAAACUAUACCGAUUAAAAAAAUUUGACCAAACCGAUAUAUAAAUAUAUAAUUUUUGUAUAUAUUUUUAAGAUUUUAUAUAGAAUUUUAUUUAAAAAUAUCUAAAAAUAUUUGGGAUUCUAAUAUUUAAUAGAAUAUCUAGUGAUCCAUAUUUAUUAACCUUAAAUAAUGGGUCGUAUCAUCAGUUUAUCACUUUCUUAUCAAGUGUUACAAAUGUGUCAAUCUCUUUGUUAUUCCAUAUUCAUAUGUCAAUAUCUAUUAAAUUCUUAUAUUUUUUUCAAAUUUGAAGUGGUUAUUAUUAUUUAAGUAUCAUAUAGGUUUUUAUGUUUAAUUACUAAAUUUGGUUAUUGAAAGUGUAUAUCAACAAAACAUUAUUGUCAGAAGACUAAAAAUAACUAUCAUAUGUUACUCGGUAGAUUCUCCCAUAAGAAUAUUUAGUAGAUAAUAUAUUUGUUAACUUUUUAAAUUUUUACUAACCAUAUAUUUACUUAUUAAAAAUUUAACAAAGCAAGAUUGAAACAAUAUUUAUGUAACAAAAAUCCCUCCAAAAUCGAACCAAUCUAAACAGAUAUAGUCGAUUUGGCUAGAUUUUAAUAAAAAUUGAACUAACUCGAUCCAUGUAUACCCCUAGUUGGGUAUAUCUUAUCAUCUCCGGAACCCACUUGUAAAAAUAUAAUGGGUUAUUAUUCUUGUUGUAUAUUUUGAUGUGACGUGUACGUAUCAUCAGUCAUAGAUGAGUUCAAGUUAUAUAUAUUGAUGGAUUAAAAGUAUAUUUAUACAAUUAAAUUAUUUAGAGUAUUAAUUACAAAUAAAUUAGAAUAAUGACUAUUAAUUGAUAAAAUGCAAAAUACAUAAUCUACCCAUCAAAUUUUGGAUCAAAUCCUUGUUACACACCUAUUCUAUACGCGUUUUAUUUUACACACCAAGCCUUUCAAAAGUGUGUCUACUUUUGACCAGCCUUUGGAGCGUGUGAAACACGGCCAGUGGGGCGCGUGAAUAGUUACUUUCUGCCUUCAUUGACUAAUUACAAUGACUAUUUACUAAUAUUUGGGCCCAUUUUCUUUAACCCUAACGCCCAUUUUCUGCUCCAAUUCUUCAUCUCCCUCUUAUUUUAUUUUCUUCUUCUUUAAAGGAACCAAACAAUGUUUUGAAUCAAACAAUCUUCUUCCUCAUCUUCCACUUCUUCUUCACCUUCCAAAAAACAUAAAGCUUAAGCAACAAACAAAGUCUUUAUUUUUUUUUUUCUGCUUCUUGGUUGGUUGAGAUGAUGAAAUACCCAAAUAAAUCCCAACUAUUUCGACCCACCCAUCCAAAUCAAAAGGGUUGAACAACCUUAAAUGUGAAUACUAACCUGAAAAACUAAAGAAGAAACAGCAACAAGUAGAUGUUUUCUCGUCAUAUUAUCUUCAUAGUUUUAAGGAUGAAGAAUACGACUUGGAAAAUGGGUUUAUGUUUGUUAAUUUGGUAGUGUAGGUGUUUUAACCUUACCGGGUUAGAUUUUUCAUGGGUCGGAAUUAAGAAAAGAGUCGGAUAAUCUAUUUUAAUUUUAAAGAAUCAUUAUUUUUUAAAUUUAUAAAAGCGCGUGUAUACAAUGCAUUAAAUAUUAAAGGGCCUAAUCAAAAGUAGUGUGUAUUUGAUAUACUUUUGAAAAGUUUGAUGUAUAAAAUAAAAUUUGCGUAAAAUAAAUAUAUAAUAGGGAUUUGAUUCAAAAUUUAAUGGGUACAUUAUAUAUUUUGCCUUUGAUAAAAUGACAAAGUAAUUACCCACCCGCUGUCAUAAAUUUAAAUUCACUGUUGAUGUUAAGAACCUGAGUUGGGUAAACUUCGAAUUUCAAUUAUUCUUUUCUUUUGGCCGGAUGCAAACACUCUUCUGACAAUCAACAAACAUUCCUAAUGCUAGUGCUAGACAUUAGAAACUAAAAUGAUAAUCACAAAAGUUUGACUCAUAUUUGGUCCAAAAAGAAAAAAACACCUAUUCAUGCAGCUAGUGCAUACUCCUAUGUUUUAUUUUAGAAAAAUUAACCUAAAUGUCGCCCCAAUCACUUAAAGUAAAAAUAGCUAGUGAACGCAUAAUGUAUGUAUUAUUAGGGGUGUUCAAAAUCGAUCCGAAACCGAAAACCGAUCCAAACCGAAGCUUAACGGCUUANNNNNNNNNNNNNNNNNNNNNNNNNNNNNNNNNNNNNNNNNNNNNNNNNNNNNNNNNNNNNNNNNNNNNNNNNNNNNNNNNNNNNNNNNNNNNNNNNNNNNNNNNNNNNNNNNNNNNNNNNNNNNNNNNNNNNNNNNNNNNNNNNNNNNNNNNNNNNNNNNNNNNNNNNNNNNNNNNNNNNNNNNNNNNNNNNNNNNNNNNNNNNNNNNNNNNNNNNNNNNNNNNNNNNNNNNNNNNNNNNNNNNNNNNNNNNNNNNNNNNNNNNNNNNNNNNNNNNNNNNNNNNNNNNNNNNNNNNNNNNNNNNNNNNNNNNNNNNNNNNNNNNNNNNNNNNNNNNNNNNNNNNNNNNNNNNNNNNNNNNNNNNNNNNNNNNNNNNNNNNNNNNNNNNNNNNNNNNNNNNNNNNNNNNNNNNNNNNNNNNNNNNNNNNNNNNNNNNNNNNNNNNNNNNNNNNNNNNNNNNNNNNNNNNNNNNNNNNNNNNNNNNNNNNNNNNNNNNNNNNNNNNNNNNNNNNNNNNNNNNNNNNNNNNNNNNNNNNNNNNNNNNNNNNNNNNNNNNNNNNNNNNNNNNNNNNNNNNNNNNNNNNNNNNNNNNNNNNNNNNNNNNNNNNNNNNNNNNNNNNNNNNNNNNNNNNNNNNNNNNNNNNNNNNNNNNNNNNNNNNNNNNNNNNNNNNNNNNNNNNNNNNNNNNNNNNNNNNNNNNNNNNNNNNNNNNNNNNNNNNNNNNNNNNNNNNNNNNNNNNNNNNNNNNNNNNNNNNNNNNNNNNNNNNNNNNNNNNNNNNNNNNNNNNNNNNNNNNNNNNNNNNNNNNNNNNNNNNNNNNNNNNNNNNNNNNNNNNNNNNNNNNNNNNNNNNNNNNNNNNNNNNNNNNNNNNNNNNNNNNNNNNNNNNNNNNNNNNNNNNNNNNNNNNNNNNNNNNNNNNNNNNNNNNNNNNNNNNNNNNNNNNNNNNNNNNNNNNNNNNNNNNNNNNNNNNNNNNNNNNNNNNNNNNNNNNNNNNNNNNNNNNNNNNNNNNNNNNNNNNNNNNNNNNNNNNNNNNNNNNNNNNNNNNNNNNNNNNNNNNNNNNNNNNNNNNNNNNNNNNNNNCCUAUAAGAGCUAACCCGAUACCAAUCCGCCCGAUAUCUUAUCGGGUGGCUAACGGAUUAAUACAUUUAAAAGCCGAUAACCGUUAAGCCAAACCGCUGAGAGUAAAAGCCGCCCAAUCCGCCCAAUGAACACCCCUAUGUAUUAUACAUGUAUCUGGAUAUUUAUGUAAAGAUUCCUUUACUUUAUAUGAUCAUUACUUUUUUUUUAAGGUGAAAUACAUAAACAGCCCCUUAAAGUUGUCCUCAACGACCAACUGAACAUCUUGACCCAUUUAUCAAUUGGACACCUCAAAUGACUAUUACUCAGAUCAAAUAGACACCCGAGUGGAACAGACUACGUACGUGAAUUAUACUUGCCAAUAAAGCCAAUCAAUAAAUAACACGUGUAAUAAUUUUAAGACGUUUUCACUUUAGAUCUCUUAUUUUACCUUAGAGGCAUGUUCUUAUAGCCAAGAUAUCAUAAAUACGAUACAACAGCAACAACAAC
rnacentral:lncRNA from 1 species